CUUGAACAAGAUAAAAUGAGAAAAGAUGUUUAUUUCUUGUUUGAUUUUAAUAAAAUGUGCAAUAUAUUAGAAACAAGCAUUUAUAAUUCAUUGUCAUCAUUUCAUUUAAACUAAAAUCAUUUGUGAUGGAAGAUUGUGUUCUGGUGAUACGACUAUUAAUUUAGCUAUAUUUAUCUUUAAUGUUUGAAGGAUGCAAUAUUUACCUCUGUAGAAUGACUUGUAUGGAAUUAUAUUGAAAAAGUGGAUGUAAAUGAGUGGGUAUUUUCUGGGCAAAAUAAACCUAAUUUGACAUUUGAUAUUUGCUCAUUACAAUUGCCAGCGUAAAAGUAUACUCCUUUUAAAUUGAUAUUUGUUUGUUUUAGAAAUUUUUAUUUUAUACUUUUUUAAUUUUAAUUUUAGGGACUGUAAAUUACAUGCUUUUUUGUUGCUUAUACAAAUGAUUAAGUAAAUUUUGUAUGAGUUCACAUACAUAACUUUGUUAUAGAUUUCCCAUAUGGUAUUACUAUCUAAACAAAAGAAUUUCCUCUUAACACCAGCAUUAUCAAAGUGUGAGGAAUUUAUGUGCUUUCAUCAUGCAGGCAUCUAAAUGUAAAACAAAAGACUGACUUUUGAUACAAACAUUAUUGUUUGUAGAGACAGUUUUCAGCAAUGUUAUGUUUUCCUUUUUUUUUUUUUUUUGAAUUAUUCAAGGCUGUGCCAUUAAAAUAUGUUAUCGAGGAAGCCACUUUUAAUUUACCUCUAAUUUGCCUCCUUUUGUUGUAUCAAAAGUUACUUCUCAGUAUCAAGGCAAAUUUGAAAUUUCUUCUUGACGUUACCUUUUCCCAGUAAAUCAGAGCUUCUCAUAUGCUUUAUUGAAAAGCCCUUUAUUAUUAUGAGUUGAAUUGAGAACAUGAAAUAUAUCUUAUAAAAAAAUUAAGAUGUUUGAACUUUACCUCAGAAAAGCACAAUCACAUGACUCUAGUUAUAAUAAACUGAUAACUCAAAUAAUUGUACGUAAUUGAAUGCUCAAGUUGAUGUUAAUAUUUUAUUCAUUCUGAAAAUAUUAUAUAAAAGAUUAUUGGAUUUUUUAAGGUAAUAGAAAACACAGCAGUAUAAAAAGCAAGAGACACAUUUAUAUGGAUAUAUAAGAUUUGGAGUUUCUUGCAAAAUAAAAAAACCAUGGGGAGGUAACUCAUGAUAUACACAAUAUUACUAUUCAUAUGCAGGGAAAAAGUAUGACUGGUAUAAAGAAACUUUCUUUUCUCUAAAAUAGACUCAAAAUUAUGUUAGUAGUAUGAGGAUUCAAGGUCUUGAUAAAUAGCCUGAAAAAUAUAGAAGUCUAAUUUUCCAAAAAAAUAUUUUUAUACCUCAGUUAAAAUCCAGUAAUUUUGAGAGUAGAAGCAAAUUGCCUAUAAAUGGUAUACUUGUAUCUGUAUGUUUUAAAAAUGACAUGUAUAUAUAGAUUUUUAUUAAACCUGCAGUAACAGUGAGAAUAUUUGUACCUGAAUUUUUCUCACAAAAAUAAAUAUAAGGCCUCCAUAAUAUAUACCAGGUUUAUCAAACUUUCAACAUUCGAUAAUUUUAUUUGUAGAAAUUAAUGGAAACAGACUUAGUAUCUCACACACAUAGGAUUAUCAUAACAUUUGUAUCCCUUAUGUCAGAUCAGAUUAAUAGUUCUUGUUGAUAUAUCAGUCUGUAUGCCUUUAACUUGGAAAUCAUAUAGUACUUACAAUUGGCAAAAUUGAAGCCAACAAAUCUCUCAAAAUACUUGUAAAUACAGAACCUCAACUGAUCAGAACAUAAUAAUAAUUCAUAAUAAUUGGAGAAAGAUGUGGUGUUUGAAGAAUAAAUGUUUUUAUGAAUGAGAAAUUGGUGAUUGUACCAUAUAUACUUAGCCUCCCUAAAUGUGAGGAUGAAAUCCAUAUAUAAAGCUGAAAGACUGCCGUUGUAAAACAUUUAUAUGAGGUGCUCAUAUUUAUUUUUUGUUCUAUGUCGCAGUAAUUACUCUAGCACUGUCAUGUUAUAAUAUGCAUGUAAAAAAAUAAUAAAAACUACCUACA
rnacentral:lncRNA from 1 species